rnacentral:tRNA from 1 species
UAUGGCAGAUUAGUGCAAUGGACUUAAACCCCAAAUAUAAAGAAUGCUUUUUUUAGAA